CGCCCUUAGAGUUUGAUCCUGGCUCAGGAUGAACGCUAGCUACAGGCUUAACACAUGCAAGUCGAGGGGAAACGACAUCGAAAGCUUGCUUUUGAUGGGCGUCGACCGGCGCACGGGUGAGUAACGCGUAUCCAACCUGCCCACCACUUGGGGAUAACCUUGCGAAAGUAAGACUAAUACCCAAUGAUAUCUCUAGAAGACAUCUGAAAGGGAUUAAAGAUUUAUCGGUGAUGGAUGGGGAUGCGUCUGAUUAGCUUGUUGGCGGGGUAGCGGCCCACCAAGGCGACGAUCAGUAGGGGUUCUGAGAGGAAGGUCCCCCACAUUGGAACUGAGACACGGUCCAAACUCCUACGGGAGGCAGCAGUGAGGAAUAUUGGUCAAUGGACGAGAGUCUGAACCAGCCAAGUAGCGUGCAGGAUGACGGCCCUAUGGGUUGUAAACUGCUUUUAUAAGGGAAUAAAGUGAGUCUCGUGAGACUUUUUGCAUGUACCUUAUGAAUAAGGACCGGCUAAUUCCGUGCCAGCAGCCGCGGUAAUACGGAAGGUCCGGGCGUUAUCCGGAUUUAUUGGGUUUAAAGGGAGCGUAGGCCGGAGAUUAAGCGUGUUGUGAAAUGUAGGCGCUCAACGUCUGCACUGCAGCGCGAACUGGUUUCCUUGAGUACGCACAAAGUGGGCGGAAUUCGUGGUGUAGCGGUGAAAUGCUUAGAUAUCACGAAGAACUCCGAUUGCGAAGGCAGCUCACUGGAGCGCAACUGACACUGAAGCUCGAAAGUGCGGGUAUCGAACAGGAUUAGAUACCCUGGUAGUCCGCACGGUAAACGAUGGAUGCCCGCUGUUGGUCUGAAUAGGUCAGCGGCCAAGCGAAAGCAUUAAGCAUCCCACCUGGGGAGUACGCCGGCAACGGUGAAACUCAAAGGAAUUGACGGAAGGGCG
rnacentral:rRNA from 1 species